CAGCACCUCAAGUGGUCAGGAUGAUUAUUGGGCCUAAAGCAUCCGUAGCCGGCUCUGUAAGUUUUCGGUUGAAUCUGUAUGCUCAACAUACAGGCUGCCGGGAAUACUGCAGAGCUAGGGAGUGGGAGAGGUAGACGGUACUCGGUAGGAAGGGGUAAAAUCCUUUGAUCUAUUGAUGACCACCUGUGGCGAAGGCGGUCUACCAGAACACGUCCGACGGUGAGGGAUGAAAGCUGGGGGAGCAAACCGGAUUAGAUACCCGAGUAGUCC
rnacentral:rRNA from 1 species